rnacentral:rRNA from 1 species
CCAAUAGCGUAUAUUAAAGUUGUUGCAGUUAAAAAGCUCGUAGUUGAAUUUCGGGACUAAUAUGUUGGUCGUGCUUUUGUACGUACUGGCAUUAUUGGUCUCUACCUUCUGAAGAACCGCGAUGUCAUUAAUUUGGUGUCGUGGGGAAUCAGGACUGUUACUUUGAAAAAAUUAGAGUGUUUAAAGCAGGCUCACGCUUGAAUACAUUAGCAUGGAAUAAUGAAAUAGGACGUUUGAUUCUAUUUUGUUGGUUUCUAGGAUCGACGUAAUGAUUAAUAGGGAUAGUUGGGGGCAUUAGUAUUCAAUUGUCAGAGGUGAAAUUCUUGGAUUUAUUGAAGACUAACUACUGCGAAAGCAUUUGCCAAGGAUGUUUUCAUUAAUCAAGAACGAAAGUUAGGGGAUCGAAGACGAUCAGAUACCGUCGUAGUCUUAACCAUAAACUAUGCCGACUAGGGAUCGGAUGAUGUUAAUUUUUUAAUGACUCAUUCGGCGCCUUACG